CACUAGUUGGAUCAGAGUGUGGUUGGUGGCGUUCAUGCAGGACCCCAGAGGGUAUAAUAAUGUGUACAUCACUUUUUCGAGGACAAUUUGUAGACGACAGCUAGUUAGGCCUACGUUUUGAAUUGUUGCAUUUUGUUUUAAGUGGGUCGCCACGCGUCAUUCAUGCAGCACUUUGAGAGCAAGCAUCCCAAAUCCCCAAUGCCCCCAGAGCUGGAUGAUGCUGAGGCUUAAAAGACCAACGCACACAAUGGACCUACAGCUGGGUUUCUAUUCUCUCAUCAUUCAGACUCCCAGUUUACAUACACACGAUGACCACGAUUAGAGAGCUGCAACUGGAACUUAAUGGCGUCAAGAGACAAAAUACUGAGACCCCUGGACAUGGGUGGGGGAUAUUUGUGACAAUGACCUAAAAAAGGGGGCAGAAGCACACCAGCACCCUAUCUUAUAUGUCCAACCACCCCUCAACUUCAGACUCUUUUGAAGCACCCAUCUUAAUUAUAUGAGCCCACUCUACCUACAUCCCUUUUCCCCAUGCUGCUUCCUUCAAUAAUACCUGAUUCAAUAACAUCUAGACUGUUACACGUCUAAAAGUAUCAGGGUGUUAUUGUUUUUGCAACUUUUUCUCAGUUGUGUACCGCUGUCUUACUUUAACCCACAACUCUUUUCUAUACCUCCUCCCAUACACUCUUGUGCAAAUCAUUUCUGCUUUCUUUGAGAAUGGUGUCAUAGUGGAAAGGAUUUGUUAUUUGUCCAAGACUGAGUCUUGUUCUGCCUGUAAAAGGCCCUGGUUGAAACAGUGCCAAAAUCACUGUGGAUAGUCGCCGGGUCCACGUUGUAACAGUUGUAUUUUGCAUUUGACCAUUUCCAAGAAAUGUAGCAAUAUAUAUGAAAUCAUUCCUCUGCCUAUUUGAUCCAUUCUGAAGGAAAGCAGUGAAUACGUUUUGUGUGUGAGAGAAUAUUUAUGCCUUGUAAUUCUAGCAGAAAAUGUGUUACUUCCAAAUGCAAGUUAAACGCCAUUCCUUCUAUACUGAUACCAGACAAAUGUAUACUUACAAGUAUUUUCAAAUGUAUUUCCAAUAUACUGCAAUGGUAUGUAGCUGAAGAGUGGUGACACUGUUUAGGAUAGGAGUGUCAAUGGCAUUUACUCUCACGUCUGCAUCAAAUCAACCUCUGCAAUAAAUAUUCUAGUUUGUUUUAUUAAAAAUAUAGCAGUA